GUCAGCUCGUGUCGUGAGAUGUUGGGUUAAGUCCCGCAACGAGCGCAACCCUUGAUCUUAGUUGCCAUCAUUAAGUUGGGCACUCUAAGGUGACUGCCGGUGACAAACCGGAGGAAGGUGGGGAUGACGUCAAAUCAUCAUGCCCCUUAUGACCUGGGCUACACACGUGCUACAAUGGACGGUACAAAGAGCUGCAAGACCGCGAGGUGGAGCUAAUCUCAUAAAACCGUUCUCAGUUCGGAUUGUAGGCUGCAACUCGCCUACAUGAAGCUGGAAUCGCUAGUAAUCGCGGAUCAGCAUGCCGCGGU
rnacentral:rRNA from 12 species